AUUGAACGCUGGCGGCAGGCCUAACACAUGCAAGUCGAGCGGAGCGGCGGACGGGUGAGUAAUGCCUAGGAAUCUGCCUGGUAGUGGGGGAUAACGUCCGGAAACGGGCGCUAAUACCGCAUACUAUCAGAUGAGCCUAGGUCGUAUUAGCUAGUUGGUGGGGUAAAGGCCGACCAAGGCGACGAUCGGUAACUGGUCUGAGAGGAUGAUCAGUCACACUGGAACUGAUGCACUGUCCAGACUCCUACGCGGGGCAGCUGUGGAGAAUAUUGGACAAUAGGCUAAAGCCUGUUCCAGCCGUGCCGCGUGUGUGAAGAAGGUCUUCGGAUUGUAAAGCACUUUAAGUUGGGAGGCGUUACCAACAGAAUAAGCACCGGCUAACUUCGUGCCAGCAGCCGCGGUAAUUC
rnacentral:rRNA from 1 species